GGGUUGUGAGGUUAAGCGACUAAGCGUACACGGUGGAUGCCCUGGCAGUCAGAGGCGAUGAAGGACGUGCUAAUCUGCGAAAAGCGUCGGUAAGGUGAUAUGAACCGUUAUAACCGGCGAUGUCCGAAUGGGGAAACCCAGUGUGAUUCGUCACACUAUCGUUAACUGAAUACAUAGGUUAACGAGGCGAACCGGGGGAACUGAAACAUCUAAGUACCCCGAGGAAAAGAAAUCAACCGAGAUUCCCCCAGUAGCGGCGAGCGAACGGGGAGCAGCCCAGAGUCUGAAUCAGCUUGUGUGUUAGUGGAACGGUCUGGAAAGUCCGACGGUACAGGGUGAUAGUCCCGUACACCAAAAUGCACAGGUUGUGAACUCGAAGAGUAGGGCGGGACACGUGGUAUCCUGUCUGAAUAUGGGGGGACCAUCCUCCAAGGCUAAAUACUCCUGACUGACCGAUAGUGAACCAGUACCGUGAGGGAAAGGCGAAAAGAACCCCGGCGAGGGGAGUGAAAAAGAACCUGAAACCGUGUACGUACAAGCAGUGGGAGCACCUUCGGGUGUGACUGCGUACCUUUUGUAUAAUGGGUCAGCGACUUAUAUUCUGUAGCAAGGUUAACCGUAUAGGGGAGCCGCAGGGAAACCGAGUCUUAACUGGGCGUUAAGUUGCAGGGUAUAGACCCGAAACCCGGUGAUCUAGCCAUGGGCAGGUUGAAGGUUGGGUAACACUAACUGGAGGACCGAACCGACUAAUGUUGAAAAAUUAGCGGAUGACUUGUGGCUGGGGGUGAAAGGCCAAUCAAACCGGGAGAUAGCUGGUUCUCCCCGAAAGCUAUUUAGGUAGCGCCUCGUGAACUCAUCUUCGGGGGUAGAGCACUGUUUCGGCUAGGGGGUCAUCCCGACUUACCAACCCGAUGCAAACUACGAAUACCGAAGAAUGUUAUCACGGGAGACACACGGCGGGUGCUAACGUCCGUCGUGAAGAGGGAAACAACCCAGACCGCCAGCUAAGGUCCCAAAGUCAUGGUUAAGUGGGAAACGAUGUGGGAAGGCACAGACAGCGGGAUGUUGGCUUAGAAGCAGCCAUCAUUUAAAGAAAGCGUAAUAGCUCACUGGUCGAGUCGGCCUGCGCGGAAGAUGUAACGGGGCUAAACCAUGCACCGAAGCUGCGGCAGCGACACUAUGUGUUGUUGGGUAGGGGAGCGUUCUGUAAGCCUGCGAAGGUGUGCUGUGAGGCAUGCUGGAGGUAUCAGAAGUGCGAAUGCUGACAUAAGUAACGAUAAAGCGGGUGAAAAGCCCGCUCGCCGGAAGACCAAGGGUUCCUGUCCAACGUUAAUCGGGGCAGGGUGAGUCGACCCUAAGGCGAGGCCGAAAGGCGUAGUCGAUGGGAAACAGGUUAAUAUUCCUGUACUUGGUGUUACUGCGAAGGGGGGACGGAGAAGGCUAUGUUAGCCGGGCGACGGUUGUCCCGGUUUAAGCAUGUAGGCUGGUUGUCCAGGCAAAUCCGGAUAAUCAAGGCUGAGGUGUGAUGACGAGGCACUACGGUGCUGAAGUAACAAAUGCCCUGCUUCCAGGAAAAGCCUCUAAGCAUCAGGUAACAUUAAAUCGUACCCCAAACCGACACAGGUGGUCAGGUAGAGAAUACCAAGGCGCUUGAGAGAACUCGGGUGAAGGAACUAGGCAAAAUGGUGCCGUAACUUCGGGAGAAGGCACGCUGGUGUGUAGGUGAAGUCCCUGCGGAUGGAGCUGAGACCAGUCGAAGAUACCAGCUGGCUGCAACUGUUUAUUAAAAACACAGCACUGUGCAAACACGAAAGUGGACGUAUACGGUGUGACGCCUGCCCGGUGCCGGAAGGUUAAUUGAUGGGGUUAUCCGUAAGGAGAAGCUCUUGAUCGAAGCCCCGGUAAACGGCGGCCGUAACUAUAACGGUCCUAAGGUAGCGAAAUUCCUUGUCGGGUAAGUUCCGACCUGCACGAAUGGCGUAAUGAUGGCCAGGCUGUCUCCACCCGAGACUCAGUGAAAUUGAACUCGCUGUGAAGAUGCAGUGUACCCGCGGCAAGACGGAAAGACCCCGUGAACCUUUACUAUAGCUUGACACUGAACAUUGAGCCUUGAUGUGUAGGAUAGGUGGGAGGCUUUGAAGCGUGGACGCCAGUCUGCGUGGAGCCAACCUUGAAAUACCACCCUUUAAUGUUUGAUGUUCUAACGUUGGCCCCUUACCGGGGUUGCGGACAGUGUCUGGUGGGUAGUUUGACUGGGGCGGUCUCCUCCCAAAGCGUAACGGAGGAGCACGAAGGUUAGCUAAUCCUGGUCGGACAUCAGGAGGUUAGUGCAAUGGCAUAAGCUAGCUUGACUGCGAGCGUGACGGCGCGAGCAGGUGCGAAAGCAGGUCAUAGUGAUCCGGUGGUUCUGAAUGGAAGGGCCAUCGCUCAACGGAUAAAAGGUACUCCGGGGAUAACAGGCUGAUACCGCCCAAGAGUUCAUAUCGACGGCGGUGUUUGGCACCUCGAUGUCGGCUCAUCACAUCCUGGGGCUGAAGUAGGUCCCAAGGGUAUGGCUGUUCGCCAUUUAAAGUGGUACGCGAGCUGGGUUUAGAACGUCGUGAGACAGUUCGGUCCCUAUCUGCCGUGGGCGCUGGAGAAUUGAGGGGGGCUGCUCCUAGUACGAGAGGACCGGAGUGGACGCAUCACUGGUGUUCGGGUUGUCAUGCCAAUGGCACUGCCCGGUAGCUAAAUGCGGAAGAGAUAAGUGCUGAAAGCAUCUAAGCACGAAACUUGCCCCGAGAUGAGUUCUCCCUGAGACUUUAAGUCUCCUGAAGGAACGUUGAAGACGACGACGUUGAUAGGCCGGGUGUGUAAGCGCAGCGAUGCGUUGAGCUAACCGGUACUAAUGAACCGUGAGGCUUAACCUUACAACGCCGAAG
rnacentral:rRNA from 1 species